UAAUUAACUGGAGAUGGGGUUCUCCGUAAAGCGUCCCGCUUAAAAUUGGGGCUGAUGACUCCUACUUAAAC
rnacentral:ncRNA from 2 species